CAAUAGCAGCAAUGACUGACAAGUCAUCACCGAAUGAGGGAAGUGGAAAUAAGGAAUAGGGGAGAUUAUUUUUAAUGACUAUGGCAACACCGCCAUAGCCGUCAGGUCUGUCCUGUCGGAGAAUAACAUAACCUGGAAUUCGAAAUGUCAAUUUCGGGCGAAGCCAUGUUUCCGACAGAGUUGAGACAAAAGGAAAUACCCAAAUUGGACUGGGUGCAAGGAGGCGAUGCCAGUAUCUGAAGAAACUUUUUGCACAUGAACUACAAAUGGCCCUAUGUCAUAGGCCUCAUAAAACGAUCGGCCUGUAGGGUUUUUUGGAGACUGAGAACUAUCUGAUGGGGGGUGUUGUUGGGUAUUAACAGUUACACUUGUAUUAUGUGCUGGGUAACCUUUUUGCUGAAAACUAUCUAUAUCGUUAGCGUUCUUAAUCUCAGUACAUAAUGAGGGAAAUUCAAUAUCCGGUAUUUGGCACGAACAAUCAGUCUCUUUUUGCUUGUUACGACGCGUCGGGUCAAAUCUUUUUUUCCUCUUAUUACAAUGUUUGCAAAUUUUA